CGCGUAGGCGGCCUUGUAAGUCGCAUGUGAAAGGCCGGGGCUCAACCCCGUGCAUUGCACGCGAUACUGCAUGGCUGGAGAGAGGUAGGGGCGAGCGGAAUUCCCGGUGUAGCGGUGGAAUGCGUAGAUAUCGGGAAGAACACCUGUGGCGAAGGCGGCUCGCUGGACCUUUUCUGACGCUGAAGCGCGAAAGCGUGGGGAGCAAACA
rnacentral:rRNA from 1 species